AGCUGGGCCAUGGGAAGACUUGGUUAGACUGAGGGAAGAAAAAUCGAUUUUUUUUAUUUUAUAAUAGCGGUUUUAGAACGAUAGAACGCCGGUUUCUGCAUCGGUGAAGUAUUCCUUUAAAUACCAUCAAUCUUCUUAACCUCUUUAAAGUCAACGCCAGCUCGACUUUACAUCAUGAAUCAAAACUCCUUACGACUGGCGCGGAGGUUUGAUUGACAGGUCUGAUGGCCCUCAUUCACCCCUAAUUACUAUCCACCUUAUUCCGCGCGUAAACAAGGGGGACGCCACAUUGGUUCCGUUUUGUGUUCCAUCUUCCGGUUGAGCAACUCUCAGAAUAGCAUGUUAUCAGUGGCACAAUACACUAGCAAUUUUAGUCAAGAUGACCAGCAUUAUUUGUUCCGUGCGGGGCUGCCAUAACAACUAGAAUAAAAGACGGGUGUCCUUGCAACAAUACUAAGUUGUACACCGGAAAACCAGGGCAGAAUGUUGUGGAGCAACCUUCAAUCUUCAUCCUCCGCCAUCCAGCGAUGAGGACCGGCGUAUGUGCCUAAAGGCGCUAAAUUCGAAGACCAUCAGACCAACACCCAUACCCUGAGACAUGGUUGGGAUAUGUUAUUCCUCCGGCGAAAAAGGCUCGUCGGAUGCUUGUGAGGCUCCAAGCUCUGCAAUCCAGGAGACUGAUGGGAUGACACACUGUGAUGCUUCUACUCAGGGGAAGUAAACAUUCAUGGAAGAUCUUAUCAAUGCUGUCAGUGACUCAUUCCAUUGUCCUCUCCUCCAUGACCAGGCAACACAGUGUCCUGAACAACAUCUUGUACACACCGAGCAUCUCCGGAAUGAUCGGCUGUGUCUACUGUACACUGGGUUGUCAGUGGAUGCCUUUGAGGCUUUAUCCGACGACCUGAAAGAAGGAUGCAGCAUCUCUCAGCUACAUCCCAAGGAUCAACUGUUGAUGACCCUGAUGGAGCUCCGGCUGAACCUAUUGCAGGACGACAUCGCAGAGAGGUUCAGAGUGUCUCAGUCUGUGGUCAGUAGGAUAAUCUCUCAGUGGCUGGACUUCAUGGAGGAGAAGAUGAGAUGCUAUGUUCCAUGGCUAACCAGGGAGACGAUCCAGGCAACAAUGCCACAGAGCUUUAAGGAAAAUGAUCCCAGGGCUCCAGACUUAUUAUUUUCACUAGGAGCACUGUGGCCCCUAACUGAACAUUUUAGGGGUGCAACCAGAAAUUUUAGGGGCACACACCGUUAAUUAACAUGCCAACCAAAUAUUCACAUUUCUGCAAAUUUUCACUGUAUAACUAAUAACUAUUUUACGGUGCCCCUCUGGUGACAUGGGUGAAUAUUUAUUCAUUUGUGGCCACUGAAUAAUAAUUUGUGGGCACACAAUAAUAAUUUGUGGGCACACAAUAAUAAUUCGUGGGCACAAAAUAAUAAUUUGUGGCCACAAAAUAAAUAAUUUGUGGCCACAACAUAAUAGUUUGUGGCCACAUAAUAAUAAUUUGUGGCCAUGAAUUAGUAGCCUAUGUUGUGGCCACGAUCAAACUAGGAGCUUGUCGGCUGUAGGCCUAUACAUUGGAGAACUUGGAGAACAUGGAAAACUUAGAAUUCAUUUUGUUUUAUUUUCAUUUAGGGAUGGAUUAUAAUCAAAUACUUAAGUCAUUCACGGUUAGGCAUGGAGUCAUAAUUAGCAAGAGACACCUAAUUCGGCUGCUAAAAAUGCAUGGCUUGACGCGCAAAGUAUAUGCUGAUCUCGGGGAAGUAAUAGAUUUCAUUAUUCAGUAGCUGAAAGGGCCUGGGAGACUUCCCGGAUACAGAUGGAUGCACCAAAAGUGCUUGUCAAAUGGUAUUUGUGCAAAAAAGGAAGAUGUUCGUAUUAUUCUUUCAGCCUUUUACCCUGACGCAUCGGCCAUUCGUCGUUCCAGAAGACUCAGCCGUAGACAGUAUUUUGACCCAGGACCCAACUACAUCUGGCAUAUAGAUGCUUAUGUUAAAUUAAAGCCACAUGGGAUCUGCAUCAGUGGGUGCAUUGAUGGCUUUUCGCGGAAAAUCAUAUGGCUGAAAGCCGCCUACACAAGUAGCGACCCACGCGUCAUAGGGGGUUACUUCAUAGGGGCCGUGGAGGCGUUUGGUGGCUGUCCCCGAAUUGUCUGCACUGAUUUAGGGACGGAGAAUGUGGUUGUCCGAGAUAUCCAGACUUACCUGCGCAGCAGUGAUGUUGACAGUAGAGCAGGUGAAAAAAGCUACAUUGCAGGAGCA